rnacentral:rRNA from 1 species
AUGAACGCUAGCUACAGGCUUAACACAUGCAAGUCGAGGGGCAGCAUGGUCUUAGCUUGCUAAGGCCGAUGGCGACCGGCGCACGGGUGAGUAACACGUAUCCAACCUGCCGUCUACUCUUGGACAGCCUUCUGAAAGGAAGAUUAAUACAAGAUGGCAUCAUGAGUCCGCAUGUUCACAUGAUUAAAGGUAUUCCGGUAGACGAUGGGGAUGCGUUCCAUUAGAUAGUAGGCGGGGUAACGGCCCACCUAGUCUUCGAUGGAUAGGGGUUCUGAGAGGAAGGUCCCCCACAUUGGAACUGAGACACGGUCCAAACUCCUACGGGAGGCAGCAGUGAGGAAUAUUGGUCAAUGGGCGAGAGCCUGAACCAGCCAAGUAGCGUGAAGGAUGACUGCCCUAUGGGUUGUAAACUUCUUUUAUAAAGGAAUAAAGUCGGGUAUGGAUACCCGUUUGCAUGUACUUUAUGAAUAAGGAUCGGCUAACUCCGUGCCAGCAGCCGCGGUAAUACGGAGGAUCCGAGCGUUAUCCGGAUUUAUUGGGUUUAAAGGGAGCGUAGAUGGAUGUUUAAGUCAGUUGUGAAAGUUUGCGGCUCAACCGUAAAAUUGCAGUUGAUACUGGAUAUCUUGAGUGCAGUUGAGGCAGGCGGAAUUCGUGGUGUAGCGGUGAAAUGCUUAGAUAUCACGAAGAACUCCGAUUGCGAAGGCAGCCUGCUAAGCUGCAACUGACAUUGAGGCUCGAAAGUGUGGGUAUCAAACAGGAUUAGAUACCCUGGUAGUCCACACGGUAAACGAUGAAUACUCGCUGUUUGCGAUAUACAGCAAGCGGCCAAGCGAAAGCGUUAAGUAUUCCACCUGGGGAGUACGCCGGCAACGGUGAAACUCAAAGGAAUUGACGGGGGCCCGCACAAGCGGAGGAACAUGUGGUUUAAUUCGAUGAUACGCGAGGAACCUUACCCGGGCUUAAAUUGCAGAUGAAUUACGGUGAAAGCCGUAAGCCGCAAGGCAUCUGUGAAGGUGCUGCAUGGUUGUCGUCAGCUCGUGCCGUGAGGUGUCGGCUUAAGUGCCAUAACGAGCGCAACCCUUGUUGUCAGUUACUAACAGGUUCCGCUGAGGACUCUGACAAGACUGCCAUCGUAAGAUGUGAGGAAGGUGGGGAUGACGUCAAAUCAGCACGGCCCUUACGUCCGGGGCUACACACGUGUUUCAAUGGGGGGUACAGAGGGCCGCUACCACGCGAGUGGAUGCCAAUCCCCAAAACCUCUCUCAGUUCGGACUGGAGUCUGCAACCCGACUCCACGAAGCUGGAUUCGCUAGUAAUCGCGCAUCAGCCACGGCGCGGUGAAUACGUUCCCGGGCCUUGUACACACCGCCCGUCAAGCCAUGGGAGCCGGGGGUACCUGAAGUGCGUAACCGCGAGGAGCGCCCUAGGGUAAAACUGGUGACUGGGGCU